GCUUAGAAGCAGAGACGCCAGUUUCUGUGGAGCCGUCCUUGAAAUACCACCCUGGUGGCCUUGAGGUUCUAACCCAGGCCCGUGAUCCGGAUCGGGGACCGUGCAUGGUAGGCAGUUUGACUGGGGCGGUCUCCUCCCAAAGAGUACCGGAGGAGUUCGAAGGUUACCUAGGUCCGGUCGGAAAUCGGACUGAUAGUGCAAUGGCAAAAGGCAGCUUAACUGCGAGACCGGCAAGUCGAGCAGGUGCGAAAGCAGGACAUAGUGAUCCGGUGGUUCUGUAUUGAAGGGCCCUCGCUCAACGGAUAAAAGGUACUCCGGGGAUAACAGGCUGAUUCCGCCCAAGAGUUCAUAGCGACGGCGGAGUUUGGCGCCUGGAUGUCGGCUCAUCACAUCCUGGGGCUGUAUUCGGUCCAAAGGGUAUGGCUGUUCGCCAUUUAAAGUGGUACGUGAGCUGGGUUUAAAACGUCGUGAGACAGUUUGGUCCCUAGCUGCAGUGGGCGUUGAAAGUUUGACGGGGGCUGCUCCUAGUACGAGAG
rnacentral:ncRNA from 1 species